rnacentral:lncRNA from 1 species
GUGUGUAUAAGUUUACCGGAGCACCUGAUAUCACCACUAGUUUUUUAAGGGGUUCGUGUUGCUUAUUCUUUAGUUUUGUAUGUUGUGUCAUGUGAUCUACUGUUUGUUUCGGUUUUUUUAUUAUUAUUUUUAUCUAUGAUGAAGUCAGUUUAUUUUCGAUUUAUAAGUUUGACUGUCCCUCUGGUAUCUUUCAUCCAUCUUUCACAAAAUAGUGUCAGUCAUUAUAGUGUUGAUUAUAACUAAGGAUCAAUUAUAUAUUUUUCAUGUCAAUUAUACUUGUAUUUAACGUUAUUGCUCUUAUUAUUAAUUUAAUAAAAUGCAGAGCAAACUAAAACAGACAGGGAAAACCUAUAAGG